CGGGAUGUGGCGCAGUCCGGUAGCGCACCACGUUAGGGACGUGGGGGUCGCAGGUUCAAAUCCUGUCAUUCCGACCA
rnacentral:tRNA from 1 species